CCUACGGGUGGCAGCAGUGGGGAAUAUUGGGCAAUGGACGCAAGUCUGACCCAGCAACGCCGCGUGAAGGAAGAAGGCUUUCGGGUUGUAAACUUCUUUUAAGGGGGAAGAGCAGAAGACGGUACCCCUUGAAUAAGCCACGGCUAACUACGUGCCAGCAGCCGCGGUAAUACGUAGGUGGCAAGCGUUGUCCGGAUUUACUGGGUGUAAAGGGCGUGCAGCCGGAGAGGCAAGUCAGAUGUGAAAUCCGCGGGCUCAACUCGCGAACUGCAUUUGAAACUGCUUCCCUUGAGUAUCGGAGAGGUAAUCGGAAUUCCUAGUGUAGCGGUGAAAUGCGUAGAUAUUAGGAAGAACACCAGUGGCGAAGGCGGGUUACUGGACGACAACUGACGGUGAGGCGCGAAAGUGUGGGUAUCAAACAGGAUUAGAUACCCCUGUAGUC
rnacentral:rRNA from 1 species